GGGGUUGUGGCUCUGCAGUAGAGCAUUCGCCUUGCACUUGUGAGACCCUGGGUUCGAUCCUCAGCACCACUA
rnacentral:tRNA from 1 species